CCUACGGGAGGCAGCAGUGGGGAAUAUUGCACAAUGGGGGAAACCCUGAUGCAGCGACGCCGCGUGAGUGAAGAAGUAUUUCGGUAUGUAAAGCUCUAUCAGCAGGGAAGAAAAUGACGGUACCUGAUUAAGAAGCCCCGGCUAACUACGUGCCAGCAGCCGCGGUAAUACGUAGGGGGCAAGCGUUAUCCGGAUUUACUGGGUGUAAAGGGAGCGUAGACGGCAGCACAAGUCUGGAGUGAAAUGCCGGGGCUUAACCCCGGAACUGCUUUGGAAACUGUGCGGCGAGGGUGCAGGAGAGGUAAGUGGAAGUCCUGGUGUAGCGGUGAAAGGCGUAGAUAUUAGGAGGAACACCAGUGGCGAAGGCGACUUACUGGACUGUAACUGACGUUGAGGCUCGAAAGCGUGGGGAGCAAACAGGAUUAGAUACCCGAGUAGUC
rnacentral:rRNA from 1 species